CCCCCUUGUGGUCGGUAUACAGGUGGUGCAUGGUUGUCGUCAGCUCGUGUCGUGAGAUGUUGGGUUAAGUCCCGCAACGAGCGCAACCCUUGUUCUGUGUUGCCAGCAUGCCUUUCGGGGUGAUGGGGACUCACAGGAGACUGCCGGGGUCAACUCGGAGGAAGGUGGGGACGACGUCAAAUCAUCAUGCCCCUUAUGUCUUGGGCUGCACACGUGCUACAAUGGUCGGUACAAAGGGCU
rnacentral:rRNA from 1 species